rnacentral:rRNA from 1 species
GCAGUCGAGCGGUAAGGCUCCUUCGGGAGUACACGAGCGGCGAACGGGUGAGUAACACGUGAGCAAUCUGCCCUUCUCAUCGGAAUAACCAUUGGAAACGAUGGCUAAUGCCGAAUAUGACUUCGGACCACAUGGUCUGAAGUGGAAAGCUCCGGCGGAGAAGGAUGAGCUCGCGGCCUAUCAGCUUGUUGGUGAGGUAAUAGCUCACCAAGGCGAUGACGGGUAGCCGGCCUGAGAGGGUGACCGGCCACACUGGGACUGAGACACGGCCCAGACUCCUACGGGAGGCAGCAGUGGGGAAUAUUGGACAAUGGGCGAAAGCCUGAUCCAGCAACGCCGCGUGAGGGAUGACGGCCUUCGGGUUGUAAACCUCUUUCAGCAGGGACGAAGCGAAAGUGACGGUACCUGCAGAAGAAGGACCGGCCAACUACGUGCCAGCAGCCGCGGUAAUACGUAGGGUCCGAGCGUUGUCCGGAAUUAUUGGGCGUAAAGGGCUCGUAGGCGGUCUGUCGCGUCGGGAGUGAAAACUCAGGGCUCAACCCUGAGCGUGCUUCCGAUACGGGCAGACUAGAGGUAUUCAGGGGAGAACGGAAUUCCUGGUGUAGCGGUGGAAUGCGCAGAUAUCAGGAGGAACACCGGUGGCGAAGGCGGUUCUCUGGGAAUUACCUGACGCUGAGGAGCGAAAGCAUGGGGAGCGAACAGGAUUAGAUACCCUGGUAGUCCAUGCCGUAAACGUUGGGCGCUAGGUGUGGGGACCUUCCACGGUCUCCGUGCCGCAGCUAACGCAUUAAGCGCCCCGCCUGGGGAGUACGGCCGCAAGGCUAAAACUCAA